ACUGACGUGUAUAGUAUAACUGGACUGCGGAUGUUCGAUGUGUUGUGAAGCAACGGCUGGGGGCGGGACAUGGGACGAUUUUUGGGCGGAAGAAGGAAGUAGAGCGCCUUUUUCCAUGUAUCUCUAUGGUGGACUUGAAGCCAUAUAGUUCCUAGGCAAUUCUUGCCGAGUCGGCCCUGUUUCGUUAAAACGGUAGUCUCCCCUCCCUCCCAAACAACCCAGAUAUUUUUUUUCGGGCUGACCCUUUAUUUAAGAAAGCUAUUAAAAUAGUUUAAAUGACCAAUGAGCAUGGCUAUUUGGGUUGAUUGGCAGUUGCCAUUCUUUAGAAUUAUUGUUUUGAUUGACAGGCAGGCCGUUGUCAAGGAGAAGGGCGAGUCUCGCGGCGUCUCCAGGGGAAGCCCCCUCCCUCCCUGCUGCAUUACUUUCAACCAGCUCUGCUUUCAACAGCUUCAUUACUGCGAUGGGUUAUUUAAUUUUGGUACACUUUCUCCACAAAUAUGCGUUGUUGUACUUUUGGAUGUACUUCUCCGUACUCUGUAAGGACCUCUGCAGUUUUGGCAAACAACAAACCACACUUCACCUGGAAAACAGAGCCAGGACUCACUGUCAGAUGUCUGAAAAUGUACAGUAGGCUACACGCCAGCAGGUCUCACCAUAGUCAACAUCAUCAAGGAUUGUCACUCCGACCUGAGAAGAGGCCCCAUAGAGACACGGACAAGGACCAGCCACUGUUGCCAGUGCACAACUGAGGACCCGACCAGCCUGCUGCCAUCUAUGAUAUAUAGUACCCGCGGAGCGGUCUGAAGACGUGGAGUACACUGCAGCAGGUAUCACAUGACCAAGGACUUGGACAACGUCUCUGUUUACAUCUAUAGUGUAUUACACAACUGAAGAUGUGCACAGUACGCUACUGCCUGCAUCCUACCACCACAGAGGAUCCGAUAUGCAGAACCAGCUUCAAAAACCAUUGCAAUUAUGAAACACAGUUAAUAAAUGCUUAUAUACAGCA